CUCAGGGCUGAUUUCCUUCAGAAUGGAUAGGUUUGAUCUUCUUGCAGUCCAUGGGACUCUCAAGAGUCUCCUCCAGCACCAUAAUUCAAAAGCAUCAAUUCUUCAGCAAUCAGCCUUCUUUAUGGUCCAGCUCUCACUUCCAUACAUCACUACUGGGAAAACCAUAGCUUUAACUAUACGGACCUUUGUUGGCAAGGUGAUGUCUCUGCUUUUUAAGAUCCUGUCUAGGUUUGUCAUUGCUUUUCUUCCAAGAAGCAGGUGUCUUUUAAUUUCGUGACUGCUGUCACCAUCUGCAGUGACCAUGGAGCCCAAGAAAGUAAAAUCUCUCACUAUAUUUUGCACUCUCCUCUUUCACCCUCAUUAAAAGGUUCUUUAAUUCCUCCUCACUUUCUGCCAUCAAGGUUGUGUCAUCUGCAUAUCUGAGGUUAUUGAUAUUUCUUCCAGCAAUCUUAAUUCCGGUUUGGGAUUCAUCCAGCCCAGCCUUUCACAUGAUGAAUUCUGCAUAUAAGUUAAAUAAGCAGGGAGACAAUAUACAGCCUUGCUGUACUCCUUUCCCAAUUUUGAACCAUUCAGUUGUUCCAUAUCCAGUUCUAACUGUAGCUUCUUGUCCCACAUAGAGAUUUCUCAGGAGACAGAUGAGGUGAUCAGGCACUCCCAUUUCUUUAAGAACUUGCCAUAGUUUGCCGUGGUCGACACAGUCAAAGGCUUUUGCAUAGUCAAUGAAGCAGAAGUAGAUGUCUUUCUGGAACUCUCUAGCUUUCUCCAUAAUCCAGCGCAUGUUUGCAAUUUGGUCUCUGGUUCCUCUGCUUCUUCAAAAUCCAGCUUGCACUUCUGGGAGUUCUCGGUCCACAUACUGCUUAAGCCUGCCUUGUAGAAUUUAUAAAACUUCAUAGAAUCCUAGAAUUGUAGAGUUGGAAGGGACCCCAAGGGUCUUCUAGUCCACCCCCUGCAAUGCAGGAAUCCCAGCUAAAGCAUCCAUGGCAGAUGGACAUCCAACCCCUCCUUAAAAACCUCCAAGGAAGAAGAGUAUGUAACCGCAUGUCACCUCUUACUUGCCUUUUCUCUAAACUAAAUAGACCCAAACACUGCCAUCUUUCUUCCUAGGGGGACCUCUCCAUCUCCUUGGUCAUUUGAAUUGCUCUUUUCUGAACUUUUCACAUCUGCUACACACCUAAGCUUUGUCUCAUCCUGAAAUGUCAUGUUGUUGUUGUGGUAUGAAUUUAAAUACUGCCCUAUACCGGUGGCAGCUCAAGGGUGAUUCACAAGAUAAAAUUGGACUAUAAAACCACAAAAUGCAUAAUCAAAUAAAAACAACAACAGUCCAAUAACACACACACACACACACACACACACACACACACACAUUUUUGAAGGCCAUAGGAUGUCAAUCAAAUCCACCAAAGGCCUGAUUAAAAAGGAACAUUUUUGCCUGGAGACUAAAGAUGUAUAAUGAAGGCGCCAGGCGAACAUCCCUGGGGAGAGCAUUCCACAAACAGGGAGCCACUGCAAGGAAGGCCCUGCUCUCAUGUUGCCACCGUCUGGACCUCUCAAGCAGGCACACAUUACCUACCUGACAUAUGCAAUACAUCCUAGAAGCCUGGGAUAGCAAAUGGCCACCUUGGUGUGGCACUUUAGCAUAACAGAAUAACAGAAUCAUAGAGCUGGAUGGCACCCCCAAGGGUCAUUCAAGUUGGGAAUGCCAUUCCACCUUUUGCUGCAGAUAUGUGGAUUGUUGCAUGUCACAUGUCUGUUUACAUUCCAGCACAGAUUGCUGGCAUGAACAGAACAUCCGCUCUGUAUUGCUUUUGUUUUUCAGUCUCCGAGAAGACAGCAAGGAGAGACGCCAUCUUUUCUUUGUCCUGAUUUAUGUAUAAUAAACACGUAGCCUUAGUAUUGCAUCUACGCCUCAAGCCUCAUCUGUUGCAGCUUGAGUCAAUGAUGAAUGUUGGAGGAGCAGAGGUCGAUGGAUCUCCGCAGCAGCAAAGCUGGGGGGGGGGGAGACACUACAGCGGGGGCAGAGCCAGCUGGCUUUUCGUCCCCCGAUUCCGACAAUUCAGUCCAACCCUGCAUUGCAGGGGGUUGGACUAGAUGACCCUUGGUGGUCCCAUCCAACUCUAAAUAAUAAUAAUAAUAAUAAUAAUAAUAAUAAUAAUCUAUUUAUACCCUGCCCAUCUGGUGGGGUUUUCCCAGCCACUCUGGGCAGCUUCCAACCGAAUAUUAAAAACAAUACAGCAUCAAACAUUAAAAACUUCCCUAAACAGGGCCGCCUUCAGUUGUCUUUAAAAAGUAAAAUAGUUGUUUAUUGCCUUGACAUCUGCUGGGAGGACAUUCCACAGGGCGGGUGCCACUACCGAGAAGGCCCUCUGCCUGGUUCCCUGUAACCUCACUUCUCGCAGCAAUGGAAUCAACAGAAGGCCCUCAGAGCUGGACCUCAGUGUCCGGGCUGGAUGAUGGGGGUGGAGACGCUCCUUCAGGUAUACAGGACUGAGGCCUGUAAUGCAGGAAUCACAGAUAACAUGAAUGGCCAAACUACGAAAUAAAGAGAGCUGCUUGCCCAAGAGAGCACAUCUGUAAAACACACACACAACAACAACAACCAAAAAAUCCCAAAGCACCAUUGAUUCCAUCUCCUAUGCUUACUGGCUCUUCUUGCUUUGGCAUAGCAGUAUAGAAGAUGCAGUUCAUAACUCCUAGUGACAGGCGCGAUAUUGAUAUCCACCAAAGUGCCUGAGGGGAGAGAGAAAAUAAACACUUGAUAAAAGUAUGAUUUAAGAUUAAUAGUUGUCUUGUGAAGAUCCAUGAUAAAACAUCCCAUAAAGAGAUUACUUGCCUGCAGUACCAAAAAAACUCCUGCAGUCACGGCUGAGCGAAGCCAGAGAAGAAAGUCUAAUUUCAGAGCAGGUUUUAUCUCAGUCGGGGAACCGAUUCUGCCUUGGGAAUACUGUAAAAGUGGGGCAUCACUUCAUGUGAAAACACUGUAAUUAAACAGAGGGCUCGGUCAAAAACGGCAAAAAGGCUCAGAUUUUUGGAUCCAAACCUAGAUUUUUGGAGGGGAGAGCUUUCCUUGACUUGGUGCCUUCCAGAUUUACUGAAGCUUUUUAUAUACAGUGGUACCUUGGGUUAAGAACUUAAUUCGUUCUGGAGGUCCGUUCUUAACCUGAAACUGUUCUUAACCUGAAGCACCACUUUAGCUAAUGGGGCCUCCCGCUGCCGCCGCGCCGCCAGAGCACAAUUUCUGUUCUCAUCCUGAAGCAAAGUUCUUAACCCGAGGUACUAUUUCUGGGUUAGUGGAGUCUGUAACCUGAAGCAUCUGUAACCUGAAGCAUCUGUAACCCGAGGUACUACUGUAUUGCUUAAAGGCCGUAGUUUGGGCUCCAACUCCCAUCAGCCCCAGCCAGGAUGACCAAUUGUUGGGGAUGAUGGGAGCUUAGUCCAAACAAAACUCAUUCUGACAGGAGGUAAUGGUCACCAGCCUAGAGGGCUUUAAAAGAGGAUGAGACAAAUUCAUGAAGGCUAUUGAUGGCUGCAAGAAGAUCAAACGUAUCCAUUGCAAGAAGAUCAAACGUAUCCAUUCUUAAGGAAAUCAGCCCUGAGUGCUCACUGGAAGGACAGGUCGUGAAACUGAGGCUCCAGUACUUUGGCCACCUCAUGAGAAGAGAAGACUCCCUGGAAACACCCUGAUGUUGGGAAAGAUGGAAGGCACAAGGAGAAGGGGACGACAGAGGGCGAGAUGGUUGGACAGUGUUCUCGAAGCUACCAGCAUGAGUUUGACCAAACUGCAGGAGGCAGUGGAAGACAGGAGUGCCUGGCGUGCUCUGGUCCAUGGGGUCACGAAGAGUCGGACACGACUAAACAACAACAACAAUUGAUGGCUACUAGCCAUAAUGGCUAGGCUCUGCCUCCACAGCUGGAGGAGAAACUGCUUCUGAAAACCAGCUGAUGGAAACCACAGGAGGGGAGAGGGCUCUUCUGCUUGAGUCCUAGGCCUAAGACCCUCGUACCUACGGGACCACCUUUCCUGAUAUGCCCCACGGAGGACCUUAAGGUCCAUAAAUAGCAAGUCAGUAAGGAAGUCAGAUUAGCCUCAACCAGAGCCAGGGCCUUUUCAACAUUGGCUCUGGCCUGGUGGAACACUCUGUCUCAUGAGACCAGGGCCCUGCAGGGUCUGCUUUCUUUCCGCAGGGUCUGUAAGACAGAAUUGUUCCGCCUGGCCUUUGGCUUGGAAUCAGCCUGAUCCCCUCCCCCUCUUUCCUUUUCCUUCUGUAAUGGAACUCCUAUUUGGGGACUUCCCUGGCUUUUUUUCUGGCCCAUGUAGGACCAGUCUGGAAAGUUAGCCUUGGUGAAGACUUGACGUUUUCAUCCCCAAAAACGUUUUUGAUUUGAGUUUCCAUUGAAAUGAGGCUGUAUUUUAAUGUUUUAAAGUUGUAUUUCAAUCAAUUUGUUUUUAUGUUGGGUGUUAGCCGCCCUGAGCCCAGUCUUGGCUGGGGAGGGCGGGGUAUAAAUAAAUUAUUAUUAUUAUUAUUAUUAUUAUUAUUAUUAUUAUUAUUGAGUCCUGCCUAUGGACUUCCCAUAGGGGCAUCUACCUGGCCACUGUGAGAACUGCACCGUUCACCUGCUUUCUUCCCCAUACUGAACUGUACACAGUUCCCAUCUCGUCGGCAGGUUUAUUGCAUGCGUAGAGAGGCAUUUGUGUGCGAAGGUGGCGAAAACAACAGUACGAUGGCAUAUGUAGAGGAGAGGUUAAAUCAAACCUUAUCUUUUAGAAAAUAGCCAUGCUGUUUUCAACUCAUUAAUCACCCAUUAUCUUCAAGGAUUGGAUGUGUGCUUAUGUGCAGUUCAUAAAAGGCCCAAUUUAUCAGGAAGCUGCUCUCCACAAACGCUAUGGCUUCAGCUGCCAUUCAAUUCAACUGGGUUUGUGCGAUAGAUUUUCUCAAUGAAAUGAGCCCAAAGAGUCCCAACCAGUCCUUGAAUUCUAUAUCAUUAUACCUCUUAGGGUGGGGGUAGGCAAUUGUUGCUGUUGUUGAGCACUAGAUUCCCACAAGGAGGCUGAAGGUGUCAGGAGUUCAGCCUACACUUGAGUAGGACGCUGGCAGAGACACAUGCCCAACUGGCAUGUUCCCUCCCUCCUGGUCAAUCAUUCAGGAGCUUCCAAAGCUUUCUUCAGCCUGAACAUCACAGUGACCAAUGCCAACCGACACCAGCACACUUAGGGAUCCACAGAGUUUGCGCCGUUCACAUAACAGACCUUAGCAACUCUGCAUUUUGGCUAAUCUACUUUAUUUACAUAUAAACACACAUGGAGCACUGCAACAUGGCUCCCUCUCUCUCUAGCAUCAGACAGCAAAGAGAAAAAGAACACAGGACAACAGUCCCACUUCACGGAACACAAACAUCCUGUCUUCUUCACUUCCCACUCUGUGGAGUCAAAACAUAUACCGUCAUGUGAAAGUCCCAUGACUGCAAUCAUAGAUCAGUAAUUCUAACUAGAGGUGCAUGGGGCUGGAGUCAAAAGUGGAGGUUGCUCCAUUAGUAUGAAUGGGUCACUGCUCCAGCAGCUUCAGUCUGCCUUCAGCCAGCCCCCACCUGCAUGCCUACUUAACAGUCUGUCCAGAGUAACCAGCUGUUACCAAUCUUCUCCCUUGUCUCAGUAUUGCCUGAGUAGAACUCAAUAGGAAGGAGGAUGGGGAUACAACUAGAAUUUAGUGGGUCUGCCUGUCAUUGGCUCUCCCUGCCUUCCACUUUGCCAGUCUCUACAGACACCAAGCACUUUUGAGCAGGUCAUACUCUCUCCCCCUUCAUUCUCUCUCUCUCUCCCAACCCUUUCUGCCCAUGUUUCCUCCUUCCAACCCCAAAUUAGGCUGGGGGAUUCACUCAUCUCUAUGACCACAGGUUGGUUGUUGUGGUUGUUGUGGUUGCAGUUGUGGUGAUUGUGGUUGUUGUUGUGGUUAUUGUUGUGGUUGUUGUUGUUUCUUCUUCUUCUUCUUCUUCUUCUUCUUCUUCUUCUUCUUCUACUUCUUCUUCUUCACCUGCCCUUCACCCUAAGGUCUCAGGACUGGUUACAAAAUUAACACGCAACAUUAAAAGCAGUUUAAAACAACUUACAGUAAAAACAAAAUUAAUAAGAUGUGUCUCCCUCUCUCUCCUUCUCUAGAAUCAGAAACCAGAGUUGCAUCUUCAGUUGUAUAAUGUAGGUUCCAGAUGUGAGGAGGAGGUUCUACAGUUCAGGGGCCACCACAGAGAAGGUCCUCUUCCAGGCUGCCACCUGCUGAGGCUCUGAGGGUGGAGGAACUCCCAAGAGGGCUUCCUCUGCUGAUCUCAGUACCCAAGAGUGUCUGUAGGGAAGGAGGAAGCCUUUUAGGUAUUUGUGGCUUGAGCAUCUUGAACUGGGGCCGGAAACAAACUGGCAACCAGUGCUGCUGUUUUAGAACAGGGGUUAGAUGAGAUCUAAUUGCAAGCAGUAAUUCUAGCUGCUGCAUUUUGGACCAAGUGAAGUUUCUGAAUCAUCUUCAAGGACAGCCCCACACACAGCAUGCUGUAGAAAUCCAAUAUCCAUUCAAACUCCUGUGGAUACAGUGCAAGGGCCAUUAUUACUGCGCUAAAAUGUGGUCUUCAAGAGGUGCUAGUUAUUUCCUCUUUCUCACAAUAGCAUAGUGAAGGAAAGGACCAAAAUCUUCACUUUAUUCAAUAAAUCGCAUCAAAACAGUCUCUCAUCCCAUUGAAAUGAGACAAUAUGUGUGCUUGUGCAUGUGUGUGUGUGUGUGAAAUUAUUAUCUUUAUGAGCAAUGGAAAUGCUGCAGUUAAAGUUUCAUCUGGGAAAUGGCAUCUUGUUGGGAAAUACUCCCUGAAAACAUCUUUCUAACUGACACAAAGGAUAUUGGCAAGCUUUGACAAAUAGUUUUCACCAACUUUCCCUUUCCAAACUGCACGAGGAAUAUUACAUCAAAUGUUUUCGGCUGUUAUCCAAGAACCACAAGCAAAGAAAAAUGAUUGCUUACAUAUUUCUUCCCGUGCUGAUGAAAACUCCUGCCCAAAAACAUGUGCUGUAUGAAACAAACCUAUGUGCCGAGGACAGCUUCAUUUUCCUUGUGAAAGGUUCUUACAUGAAGCAUUUGUACAAAAGUAAUAAGCUAUCUGCAUUGGGUUUUUCUGUUUUCGGAAAGCAGCAGUCUCCGUCAGAGGAUGUUCCAGCCUAAGGGGUGUGCUUUGGGUAAGGGGAUAGGUUCCAUCAAGAGAAGCCAAGCAUGGAAACCAAGACAGUGUUCGAUCUUGAUAGAGAUGCAUGUUGUGCUGGGCCCGGGAGUAACCCGCGAAACGCGGUCCAGGACCGGACCCAAAUCCGAAGGUUCCGCUAGGAGUCAGUCCAACAGGGCCAAAGCAGGACAUGAGGCAGGAAACCAGGCAAGGACAGGUACAGGAUCUCAGGCAGGAUCUAGCAUACAGCAAUGUUGCUCCCACAACCUGGGGCGGGGUCCGACAGCCUUUUAUCUUUGUUGGGGUAGCGGCCGGUCCUGAUCCCCCAGCAAUUCACCUCCCUGUUUCGCCUGAAGGCGAGCACUCCUCCUGCGAGUACUCAGGUAUCUCCUUCUCUCAGACCUUAGUCUCUGCAACUCGGGAGAUGUCUGUGGGUUCCUAGACCCAGGGGCCGCCUCAGCCUCCCCUGACCCAACAGGUAGUGGAGCAGCUGUGAGUGAUGACCCAGCUGGAGGCAACAAGAUAAUCCCCGCAUAUGGAGCCAGGGCAGGCUCAGGUCCCUGACUCUCCCCCGGCUGGUGUUUGUUGCAGGGGAACCUGUGCAGACUGGGACUCUUCAGGAUCAGGCCCCAGACUUGGUUCAGAUGGUGCCUGAGGCGAGUCUCCUCUGGUUCCGAGUCUGAGCCCAAGUCCCAGGCCAUCACACUUAUGAACAGGCACAAAUGUUGUAUCAGCGACAGAUGAUCCCAUACUGAAUUCUAGAUAGGGCUUCAGACCAAUCUUCUGACCAGUCCAAAAAGCCCUCCAAAAGUAGAUAAUGGAGGAAGGUAAGCCCACUGAUUGUCUCCUGUAUUCUGUAGCACACACUCUCCAACUCUAGGGUUCCAUUCAGUUAUAAUUGUCAGCCUGGAUAGCUCAGUUGGUUAGAACAUGGUGCCGAUAAUGCCAAGGUUAAAAGUUUGAUCCCUGUUUGGGACAGCUGCAUAUUCCUGCAUUGCAGGGGGGGUGGCCUAGACUCUGUUGGAAGAGAUCCAGUGUGGUGUAGUGGUUAAGAGUGGUGGACUCGUAAUCUGUUGAACUGGGUUCGAUUCCCCACUCCUCCACAUGCAGCUGCUGGGUGACCUUGGGCUAGUCACACUUCUCUGAAAUCUCUCAGCCUCGCUCACCUCACAGAGUGUUUGUUGUGGGGAAGGAAGGGAAAGGAGAAUGUUAGCUGCUUUGAAACUCCUUAGGGUAGUGAUAAAGCGGGAUAUCAAAUCCAAACUACUCUUCUUCUUCUUUCUAUGAUAACUAACGGUCAUUGACUCAGUGUGAGGCAGCUUCCGAUGUUCCAGAUAUGAAACCUAACAUCUUCCCUCUCAAAGACAUGCACUUUUUAAAUCAAACAACUAAUUAGAUUAUUAUUAUUAUUCCUGUUCUAUUGAGAUCUGUCCUGGUGCACAUAUCCUACCCGGCAAAGCAUUCAUCAGGCUGUUAGUCCACAAUGCAAAGCACUUAAUAUCUAGAGCAGUCUUGAAUAAUUCAUUAGUGCUCAAUGCGCCUAAUACCGAUAAAUGGAAGCCCUGCUGGUUUCUCACACACUUCUUGGUUUAAGCGAUGAUAAAUAUACACUUUGCCAGACAGCCAUAUGAGCUGUAGGGAAGGAAUUCAUUCUCAUCAAAGAAAUAGUAAGUAGGGAGCAUUCCCACCUCUUGGAAGGGCGAGUGAGGAGAACCUUAGAUUCCUGACUGCUCCGAGAAUGAUGUGAGUUAGCGUUGGGGCCCCAAACAUCAAUGGGGCCCCAAACAUCAAUAACCCUAACCCACAUGGAAAAUGAAGAGUUGUUGCUAAAUAUUUAUUCAUGUAUUUCCACUUACAAAUUGCUUCUGAGGUGGACUUACUCAUAACCCCAUUAUUAGUGAGGCCACAGCAACAUAUGCAAGAAUGUGACCUGACCACAAGAUUGGCUGUCUGUUAAAGUGAAAAAAAGAACACCCUAUAAGGUAUAAGAAGGGUUCUGACAUGAGCAGUCAACAAUGGGUUGAGCAAGUUUAAUUAUUAUUAUUUAUUUAUUUAUUUAUUUAUUUAUUUAUUUAUUUAUACCCUGCCCAUCUGGCUGGGUUUUCCCAGCCACUCUGGGCAGCUUCCAACCGAAUAUUAAAAACACAAUACAUCUUGAAACAUUAAAAACUUCCCUAAACAGGACUGCCUUCAGAUGUCUUCUAAAAGUCUGGUAGUUGUUUUUCUCUUUGACAUCUGGUGGGAGGGUGUUCCACAGGGCGGGUGCCACUACCGAGAAGGCCCUCUGCCUGGUUCCCUGUAACUUGGCUUCUCACAGCGAAGGAACCGCCAGAAGGCCCUUGGCACUAGACCUCAAGCCAUCCAAGCUGGUGCGCAUCCUAGGAACGUGAGACUGUCAUCAAAAGCAUGGGAUGAUCCUCCUUAGUCUAUUAACUGCCUUCAACAUUUGCACAGACGAAGCAUGCUAGGCAAACAGUGACCAGAAAUUCACAAGAGGUGAGUACAAAACACGGGGUUUUGCCAUUUGUUUAGAGCAUGGGUAGGCAAACUAAGGCCUGGGGACCCGAUUCGGCCCAAUCACCUAAAUCCAGCCUGCAAAACGGUCCAGGAAUCAGCAUGUUUCUACAUGAGUAGAAUGUGUGCUUUUAUUUAAAAUGCAUCUCUAGAUUAUUUGUGGGGCAUAGGAAUUUGUUCAUAUAUAUUUUUUCAAAAUAUGGUCCGGCCCCCCAAAAGGUUUGAGGGACAGUGGACCGGCCCCCUGCUGAAAAGGUUUGCUGACCCCUGGUUUAGAGCUUCUCAGUUGUCAAUGUAAGAGGUAACGCAGAGUUAAAACCCUCGAGGUGAAGCCUUCUUGUAGAAAGAGCUGUGAAGUGAAUUGUAGCGGGUUGGGUUCUACAGUUCUAUGACUCCAUGAUAUCUUUUGGUGAUUUGUGCAGGCCAUCUCCCUUGCUGCAAAUAUGUUUCUUUGUGAAGGGAAGUCCUUCCACUUCUAUUACAUAACUUGUCAUUAUUAUCAAAGUACGGUAGUUUAGAGGAAAUCUCUUCAAGGGUAAACUUCUUAAUGCAGGUAUUUCCUGCUGUAACUCCUUGCAAACUCAGAGGCAUGCUCAAAGCACAGCAGUUCCCUUUGAGUUUACAAAUGAUCUCCCCUACCCCGCAUUUCUUAACUUUGCUAUGAAUGUCUUCCGUUCCCAUGGGCAAUUCUGUAAUCUAGCUUUCAUUCCCCAUCGCGCCUGCUGUUCUCUAAGAUCUCUAAAUCUCCAGUUAUCAAAACACAUAAUCUGCCCUAUCGUUCAACGGCAGACAUUUCAACAUCUGGUAGUAAUUAACUAACAGCAGAGAAGCAGUGCUGAGUGAGUGUGUCUCUUGAAAGUUUCACAUCCCAGAAAUGCAUGCUUUGAUAUUGGCUGGGGAGUCUGGAAGAAAUGGCUCUGGACUGCAUGUCUGCCCACAUGGCAUACAAAUUUGAAAGCUGAAUUUCAGUGUAGAUUUUGAAUUAUUUUCUGAGUUCAAGUGCAGAUACAGUUGGAGUGUCAAUUCGAAACUAUGGUAGUUGAUUUUUAAAUACGCAUUGCAGUGCUGUGAUAUACAGUUACUGAUUCACACUUGUAUGCAUGAAAGGGUUAACCUGAGCCCUGAGCUCAAGUUACCAUGAGUGCUGCAGGCUCCCAGCAGCCUUAACUUCCACCUACUUCUCUCUCCUGCUUCCUUCAAGAAGCUGAAGCCAAGCAUGGCUCCCAGCUCAUGUAGAACAAAACAUGCAAUGAAAAAUCUCUCCAAAAUGAGAUUUUUAUUACCUGCAUGCACGGACUGUUUGAUCCUUUUAUAGGGAAUUUAUUUUUAAGUCUUUUGGAAAAAAAAAAUUCUUCUUUAUUUUUCCUGCAAACGGAUGGAUAAUUAUUUGCUGUCACUUCUGAAACUCUUGUGAAUACAGUUUUCUCUUAUUUGCAAAGCUAAGUGGCUGUGAUUUAUUCUAGCCUAAGUACUUUAAUGGGGAAUGUUUGAUUAAAGGUGGAUGAGGGCAGAUGUAAAUCUAAGUAAGUUUUAAUAUGCUCUGGAUAAAAUUGUUGUUGUUGUUGUUUAGUCGUUUAGUCGUGUCCGACUCUUCGUGACCCCAUGGACCAGAGUAUGCCAGGCACUCCUGUCUUCCACUGCCUCCCGCAGUUUGGUCAGACUCAUGUUUGUAGCUUCGAGGACACUGUCCAACCAUCUCGUCCUCUGCCGUCCCCUUCUCCUUGUGCCCUCAAUCUUUCCCAACAUCAGGGUCUUUUCCAGGGAGUCUUCUCUUCUCAUGAGGUGGCUAAAGUAUUGGAGCCUCAACUUCACGAUCUGUCCUUCCAGUGAGCACUCAGGGCUGAUUUCCUUAAGAAUGGAUAGGUUUGUUCUUCUUGCAGUCCAUGGGACUCUCAAGAGUCUCCUCCAGCACCAGAAUUCAAAGGCAGCAAUUCUUUGGGGAUCGGCCUUCUUUAUGGUCCAGCUCUCACUUCCAUACAUCACUACCGGGAAAACCAUGGCUUUAACUAUACGGACCUUUGCUGGCAAGGUGAUGUCUCUGCUUUUUAAGAUGCUGUCUAGGUUUGCCAUCGCCUUUCUCCCAAGGAGCAGGCAUCUUUUAAUUUUGUUACUGCUGUCACCAUCUGCAGUG